UACGGGGGGAGCAAGCGUUGUUCGGAUUUACUGGGCGUAAAGGGCGCGUAGGCGGCCUUCUAAGUCGAACGUGAAAUCCCCGGGCUCAACCCGGGAACUGCGUCCGAUACUGGAAGGCUUGAAUCCGGGAGAGGGAUGCGGAAUUCCAGGUGUAGCGGUGAAAUGCGUAGAUAUCUGGAGGAACACCGGUGGCGAAGGCGGCAUCCUGGACCGGCAUUGACGCUGAGGCGCGAAAGCCAGGGGAGCAAAGCGGG
rnacentral:rRNA from 1 species